rnacentral:rRNA from 1 species
UGGGGUAACUAAUACAUGCAAGUCGAGCGAAUGGAUUAAGAGCUUGCUCUUAUGAAGUUAGCGGCGGACGGGUGAGUAACACGUGGGUAACCUGCCCAUAAGACUGGGAUAACUCCGGGAAACCGGGGCUAAUACCGGAUAACAUUUUGAACCGCAUGGUUCGAAAUUGAAAGGCGGCUUCGGCUGUCACUUAUGGAUGGACCCGCGUCGCAUUAGCUAGUUGGUGAGGUAACGGCUCACCAAGGCAACGAUGCGUAGCCGACCUGAGAGGGUGAUCGGCCACACUGGGACUGAGACACGGCCCAGACUCCUACGGGAGGCAGCAGUAGGGAAUCUUCCGCAAUGGACGAAAGUCUGACGGAGCAACGCCGCGUGAGUGAUGAAGGCUUUCGGGUCGUAAAACUCUGUUGUUAGGGAAGAACAAGUGCUAGUUGAAUAAGCUGGCACCUUGACGGUACCUAACCAGAAAGCCACGGCUAACUACGUGCCAGCAGCCGCGGUAAUACGUAGGUGGCAAGCGUUAUCCGGAAUUAUUGGGCGUAAAGCGCGCGCAGGUGGUUUCUUAAGUCUGAUGUGAAAGCCCACGGCUCAACCGUGGAGGGUCAUUGGAAACUGGGAGACUUGAGUGCAGAAGAGGAAAGUGGAAUUCCAUGUGUAGCGGUGAAAUGCGUAGAGAUAUGGAGGAACACCAGUGGCGAAGGCGACUUUCUGGUCUGUAACUGACACUGAGGCGCGAAAGCGUGGGGAGCAAACAGGAUUAGAUACCCUUUGUAGUCC